CUCCCUGCUACUGCUUCCUAUGUAGGGAUGCAUUCAUUUUCCUAGUCAAACUGGAACAAUGUCAUAUGUGUCUGAAAAUCCCUUAAACUUUGCUUCCCAAGGGUCGGUUCAAGACGAGAAGCAUCUGUAUCUCCUGCGGGCUUGUAAAGAAGGCAGAAUCGUGGGCCCAUCCCAGAUCUACUUAAGCAGAAUCUUCAUUUUUGACAUGAUCCUUCCAGAAGCCACUGGGAUUCCUGGAGUGUUUUCGGAGCAGUGAGUACCACAGACUUUAGCAAGCACACUGGAUGAGAAUCCAACAGUGACCUUGCUUGAGGAAGAUGAACAACGCUUCAGACAGCAUGUCAAAUAGAUUCAAGUUUUAAGAAAUCAGGAAGAAACCAUCUUGGAAAACAAAUAUUGAAGUUUUGACUCUAUAGAGCCAAUGGAUGUGGACCCUGGACUUAGAAAGAGAUUUGUAAACAAACCAGAGAACACCGAAGAGCUGCUCCUUCGCACUGAAAUGGUUUGCUGGCUUUCUGCCUAGAUCCGACAUCUCUUCAAAUGGACAGUCCCAACUCUCCUUCUCUCACUUCUCUUCCCCCUUCUCUGUAAGUCACAAAUGCUGCAUUUGGAGGAACUUCAUUUUAACUAGGAUAAACAUCACAUAAUAAAUGAUGCAUUUUUUCUCAUAAAGCAAACCAUUUAUCAAUGUUUUUAGUAAUUGUUUGUGUUGGAGCCCUUGGUGGAAGUCUUAUGAUCUAUAGUGUCCAUUGAGGCUUCCAUUUAAAGGGGGGCAGAGACAAUGCCAAAGUUGAUACAAGGGAUGAUGGGGAGAUAAGCUCUCG
rnacentral:lncRNA from 1 species